rnacentral:rRNA from 1 species
AGAGUUUGAUCCUGGCUCAGGACGAACGCUGGCGGCGUGCCUAACACAUGCAAGUCGAGCGAGGAGAUUCCUUCGGGAUGAUCCUAGCGGCGGACGGGNNNGUAACACGUGGGCAACCUGCCUCAUAGAGAGGAAUAGCCUUCCGAAAGGGAGAUUAAUACCUCAUAACAUUGCAGCUUCGCAUGGAGCAGCAAUUAAAGGAGCAAUCCGCUAUGAGAUGGGCCCGCGGCGCAUUAGCUAGUUGGUGAUGUAACGGACCACCAAGGCGACGAUUGGUAGCCGAACUGAGAGGUUGAUCGGCCACAUUGGGACUGAGAUACGGCCCAGACUCCUACGGGAGGCAGCAGUGGGGAAUAUUGCGCAAUGGGGGAAACCCUGACGCAGCAACGCCGCGUGGAGGAAGAAGGUCUUCGGAUUGUAAACUCCUGUCUUCUGGGACGAUAAUGACGGUACCAGAGGAGGAAGCCACGGCUAACUACGUGCCAGCAGCCGCGGUAAUACGUAGGUGGCAAACGUUGUCCGGAAUUACUGGGCGUAAAGGGCGAGUAGGUGGUUUAUUAAGUCAGAAGUGAAAACUCCGGGCUCAACUCGGAGACUGCUCCUGAAACUGGUAGACUUGAGUGCAAGAGAGGGAAGUGGAAUUCCUAGUGUAGCGGUGAAAUGCGUAGAUAUUAGGAGGAACACCAGUGGCGAAGGCGACUUCCUGGCUUGUAACUGACACUGAGGCGCGAAAGCGUGGGGAUCAAACAGGAUUAGAUACCCUGGUAGUCCACGCCGUAAACGAUGUCAACUAGGUGUUGGACGGUUAAUCGUCUCAUUGCCGCAGCUAACGCAUUAAGUUGACCGCCUGGGGAGUACGGUCGCAAGAUUAAAACUCAAAGGAAUUGACGGGGGCCCGCACAAGCGGUGGAGUAUGUGGUUUAAUUCGACGCAACGCGAAGAACCUUACCAAGGCUUGACAUCGUCUGAAUUACUCUUAAUCGAGGAAGCCUUUCGGGGAGCCUGGUGACAGGUGCUGCAUGGCUGUCGUCAGCUCGUGUCGUGAGAUGUUGGGUUAAGUCCCGCAACGAGCGCAACCCUUAUUGUUAGUUGCUACCAUUUAGUUGAGCACUCUAGCGAGACUGCCCGGGUUAACCGGGAGGAAGGUGGGGAUGACGUCAAAUCAUCAUGCCCCUUAUGUCUAGGGCUACACACGUGCUACAAUGGCAAGUACAAAGAGAAGCAAGACCGCGAGGUGGAGCAAAACUCAAAAACUUGUCUCAGUUCGGAUUGUAGGCUGAAACUCGCCUACAUGAAGCUGGAGUUGCUAGUAAUCGCGAAUCAGCAUGUCGCGGUGAAUACGUUCCCGGGCCUUGUACACACCGCCCGUCACACCAUGAGAGUUGGCAAUACCCAAAGUUGGUGAUCUAACCCGUAAGGGAGGAAGCCACCUAAGGUAGGGUCAGCGAUUGGGGUGAAGUCGUAACAAGGUAACC